rnacentral:rRNA from 1 species
GGUGAAGCCAAGCUUGCUUGGUGGAUCAGUGGCGAACGGGUGAGUAACACGUGAGCAACCUGCCCUGGACUCUGGGAUAAGCGCUGGAAACGGCGUCUAAUACUGGAUAUGAGCCUCUAUCGCAUGGUGGGGGUUGGAAAGAUUUUUUGGUCUGGGAUGGGCUCGCGGCCUAUCAGCUUGUUGGUGAGGUAAUGGCUCACCAAGGCGUCGACGGGUAGCCGGCCUGAGAGGGUGACCGGCCACACUGGGACUGAGACACGGCCCAGACUCCUACGGGAGGCAGCAGUGGGGAAUAUUGCACAAUGGGCGGAAGCCUGAUGCAGCAACGCCGCGUGAGGGAUGACGGCCUUCGGGUUGUAAACCUCUUUUAGCAGGGAAGAAGCGAGAGUGACGGUACCUGCAGAAAAAGCGCCGGCUAACUACGUGCCAGCAGCCGCGGUAAUACGUAGGGCGCAAGCGUUAUCCGGAAUUAUUGGGCGUAAAGAGCUCGUAGGCGGUUUGUCGCGUCUGCUGUGAAAUCCCGAGGCUCAACCUCGGGCCUGCAGUGGGUACGGGCAGACUAGAGUGCGGUAGGGGAGAUUGGAAUUCCUGGUGUAGCGGUGGAAUGCGCAGAUAUCAGGAGGAACACCGAUGGCGAAGGCAGAUCUCUGGGCCGUAACUGACGCUGAGGAGC